AAGUCUAUUUUCGUCAGACACAGUUCCUUUAAAACCUGCCCAGCCUGAAUUGUUGUAAGAGGAAUGAAGAGUAAAAUCUGUCAGUCAAUAACACAGCAUUAAUUUUUGUGACUUGCAGCUCCAAUCACAAAACCAGCUGAGCUGUAGCAGCAGAAAAGCACUUUGUCUAACCUAAGGCUUAUGUGUGUCCUAGCUGUCAAGAAAUAAAGAACUGAGAUGGAAACUCUCAUUGAUGUCCUUAUUAGGCUUUGUAUUUGCUUGCUCUUCUUCUCUUCUUUGUCUAGAAUUCUCCUUUCCUAAACCAAGCGUUAAGGCUUUCUACCAUUUCUUCUGUGGAGUAAAUGUCAUUUUUCCACCUUAGAGUCUCCACUUUAUAUCAAGGCUGCUGAAAACGUAUUGUUAUGUAUUAUUUCUUGGCAUAUUUAUUUUUCCAAUUAUUUGUUUCUCCAACUGCAUUGUUUAACUCUGUCUGCAUAGAGGGUACAGGAGCUAUUUCUGCAUUCCUGACUCACCUAAAUUUGUGUUAAACCCAAUGGAUGUUUUGAGUGUGCAAGGAUGGGGCUCAAAGUUGUGUUCUACAUUCUGCUUUUCUGAAGUCUGCUCAAGUGGCAUCACUUAAAAUUAAAACUUCAAAGAGACAAGCAGUCAAUACAGCACAGAAAAAAAGACUGUGGUUCCCAUUUCUCAAGAAGACUAGAAAGCAAGUUCUCAAUCCUUAAGACUGCAUAAGACCUACUUAGAGGUCAUAAGUGAUUUCCUAAGUACAGUUAAACAAUUAACACUUUAA